rnacentral:rRNA from 1 species
CCAGACUCCUACGGGAGGCAGCAGUGGGGGAUAUUGCACAAUGGGGGAAACCCUGAUGCAGCGACGCCGCGUGGGUGAAGAAGUAUUUCGGUAUGUAAAGCCCUAUCAGCAGGGAAGAAAGAAGACGGUACCUGACUAAGAAGCCCCGGCUAACUACGUGCCAGCAGCCGCGGUAAUACGUAGGGGGCGAGCGUUAUCCGGAUUCACUGGGUGUAAAGGGAGCGUAGACGGCCGUGCAAGCCAGGAGUGAAAGCCCGGGGCCCAACCCCGGGACUGCUCUUGGAACUGUGCGGCUAGAGUGCGGGAGGGGCAGGCGGAAUUCCUGGUGUAGCGGUGAAAUGCGUAGAUAUUAGGAGGAACACCAGUGGCGAAGGCGGCUUACUGGACUGUAACUGACGUUGAGGCUCGAAAGCGUGGGGAGCAAACAGGAUUAGAUACCCCUGUA